rnacentral:rRNA from 1 species
ACGGGUGAGUAACACGUGGGCAAUCUGCCCUUCACUCUGGGACAAGCCCUGGAAACGGGGUCUAAUACCGGAUAGCACUUCCACUCGCAUGGGUGGGGGUUGAAAGCUCCGGCGGUGAAGGAUGAGCCCGCGGCCUAUCAGCUUGUUGGUGAGGUAAUGGCUCACCAAGGCGACGACGGGUAGCCGGCCUGAGAGGGCGACCGGCCACACUGGGACUGAGACACGGCCCAGACUCCUACGGGAGGCAGCAGUGGGGAAUAUUGCACAAUGGGCGAAAGCCUGAUGCAGCGACGCCGCGUGAGGGAUGACGGCCUUCGGGUUGUAAACCUCUUUCAGCAGGGAAGAAGCGAAAGUGACGGUACCUGCAGAAGAAGCGCCGGCUAACUACGUGCCAGCAGCCGCGGUAAUACGUAGGGCGCAAGCGUUGUCCGGAAUUAUUGGGCGUAAAGAGCUCGUGGGCGGUCUGUCGCGUCGGAUGUGAAAGCCCGGGGCUUAACCCCGGGUCUGCAUUCGAUACGGGCAGACUAGAGUGUGGUAGGGGAGAUCGGAAUUCCUGGUGUAGCGGUGAAAUGCGCAGA